AGGACGAACGCUGGCGGCGUGCUUAACACAUGCAAGUCACGGGGGUCCCGCAAGGGAUAACCGGCGAACGGGUGCGUAACACGUGAGCGACCUGCCUCUUCGCGGGGAUAGCCGGCCCAACGGCCGGGUAAUACCGCAUACGUUCAGUUUGGGCAUCCCGAACUGAGGAAACCUCCGGGGCGGAGAGAGGGGCUCGCGGCCUAUCAGCUAGUUGGCGGGGUAAUGGCCCACCAAGGCAGCGACGGGUAGCUGGUCUGAGAGGAUGGCCAGCCACAUUGGGACUGAGAAACGGCCCAGACUCCACGGGAGCAGCAGUGGGGAAUCUUGCGCAAUGGCCUAACGGCUGACGCAGCGACGCCGCGUGUGGGAGGACGCCUCGGGUGGUAAA
rnacentral:rRNA from 1 species